UCUUCGGGAUAGGUAGUAGUUAAGGUGAUGGCUUAACUAGCCAAAAACUCUCGUAGUCGAAGCUGAAAGGUUGAUCGACCACAUUGGGUCUGAAAAAACCCCAAUGCAAGUUAGUACAGCAGUGAGGAAUCUUGGUCAAUGGCCUAACGGCUGAACUGGCAACUUGGAGAAGUGGCAAGUCUUAUUUUGAUUAUAUUACAAUAUAUAAUCUAUAAGAUUGUAUUAAAAUUGAAUAAAGCUUUGUUUAUAUAUUGAUAAUGACAGUAUAUAUAUCGUGUCUUGACUAAUUACGUGCCAGCAGUCGCGGUAAUACGUAAGAGACUAGUGUUAUUCAUCUUGAUUAGGUUUAAAGGGUACCUAGACGGUCAAUAUAUCUUCUAAAAUGUUAGUACUUGACUAGAGUUUGAUAUAAGAGGGCAGUACUUGAGGAGGAGAGAUGAAAUUCUAUUAUACCAAAGGGACUCGGUAAAGGCGAAGGCAGCCCUCUAUGUAAAAACUGACGUUGAAGGACGAAGGCACAGAGCACAAACAGGAUUAGAUACCCAAGUAGUCUUUGCAGUAAAUGAUGAAUGCCAUAGGUUUAGAUUAA
rnacentral:rRNA from 1 species